rnacentral:rRNA from 1 species
UACGAACCGUACAAACGUUAUUCGGAAUCACUGGGCUUAAAGGGUGCGUAGGCGGCCAUGUAAGUGAGGUGUGAAAUCCCUCGGCUCAACCGAGGAACUGCGCUUCAUACUGCAUGGCUUGAGGGAGACAGGGGUAAGCGGAACUGAUGGUGGAGCGGUGAAAUGCGUUGAUAUCAUCAGGAACACCGGUGGCGAAAGCGGCUUACUGGGUCUCUUCUGACGAUGAGGUACGAAAGCUAGGGUAGCGAACGGG